rnacentral:rRNA from 1 species
AGCUGGGUAGUAUUAGUGAAUUCUUGAAACCCAAAGAAUUUGGCGGUAUUUUAGUCUUUUCAGAGGAAUCUGUUCUGUAAUUGAUAAUACACGAUUUGUUUUACUUGAUUUUGUUAUCAGUUUAUAUACCGCCGUCAUAAGAUUAUUUUUGUUUAAGAAUUAAAUUUUCUUGUUUUUUUAAUAAAUUAUAUGUCAGGUCAAGGUGUAGCUUAUAAUUAAGUAGUGAUGGAUUACAAUAAUGAUAGUUAUUACGGAUAAUUAAUUUUAGAUUAAUUUGAAGGUGGAUUUGAUUGUAAAUUUAUUUUUGAUUUUUAUGUUGAUUUAAGCUCUAGAAUGUGUACAUAUCGCCCGUCGCUCUCGUUAUUAAGGUGAG